rnacentral:rRNA from 1 species
UGACGACCAUAGCGAGUGGGAACCACCUGAUUCCAUGCCGAACUCAGAAGUGAAACCACUCAGCGCCGAUGGUAGUGUGGGGUUUCCCCAUGUGAGAGUAGGUCAUCGUCA